GCGCGGGAGCGCGCCAAACGGAGCCUGCAGCUGACGGGCGCGCGCACUCACCGCGACGCAGAACUUCAUGAGGAUGAAGUUUAUUUUCUACAGUCUAUGGUUGAGACUGACUCUCUCGCUCCGACUACCUAACCCCGUUUAUAACCGUUCCUGUGCGCGUGAAUGCCCAACAAACAAAAGGAGAGAAAGCAGCUUCCUUCAGGGCAGCUGUGCAGCGUGUGUUGCCUAAAGCAGCUCUGAUGGAGAGGAUGGAGGAGAAGCUUGGAGCACAGACGGCCUCAGCUACCUUUAAUCCACAUUUCAUGUGUACAAACAAAGAGAACAGAGGAUGUUAAAUCACAGAUUCACAAUCGUCUGUUUGCACUUCCUCAGAAGUAUAAAGUCACAUUUCUUCUUCUUCUUCUUCUUCUGCGGCCUCACUCGGCAUCCAAAACACGUCUUGUGAAAUCCACAGGUGACGUCACGGACACUGUACCAGCAUUGUUCUGCAGUCUGUGGAGCUCAGUGAUCUCCGGAAUCAGACACACAUGCACAUCAAAUCAGACCCAGGCCUUCCCUUUGGCACAGCAGCACACACAUCAGAGCCAGGGUUUACAUCUGGGGCUGCCUCAUCCCAAAUAUCUCUGCUAUCAUGUCACCUGAUGAAGUGUUUUGUUUUCAGAGGAACGGUAACCUGGUGGUUUUUAACAUACAUCACACAACAAAGCAUGCAUGCAUCUGUGUGUUGUCCUGCAGAUUAAACCCAGCUGUGCAGCCUGUGAUACCUGACCACACUGUCUGUUUAUAAAAGGCUUGAUUGUUUCUUAAAUGUGACCUCCCACCUCAGGGAACUCACAAUCAGACAUCAGACGCACAACAUGUCAGCUGCAGCAGCGUUCAGGUGAGCUGCAGACAAACACACACCUGAUCUGAGGAGUGGAUUAAACUGCUAGUGAGUACAUGUUAAGUGUGUCAGGUGGACGGAGUAGGUGUGUUUGUGGGUAGUCGUAGUCGUAGUAGUAGUAAUAGUAGCACACCUGAAUGAAACACAUGGCUGCAUCAGUGCCAAACUAUGCAGGCCUUUAGGCUUGGGAGUGAAAAUCAGACAUUCAAAACAAAGAAUCUGACUUUUCCUUUGCUGUGUCACCCACAGGAGUUCUGAUACUUCCUCUGCAUGUUGCCAGGUGUGGAAAUUAAACACACAUAAUCAUUUAAAUGU